ensembl:lncRNA LINC01366 long intergenic non-protein coding RNA 1366
GAGUCACAGGCAAUUCCGUUUUGUUUGGGACCAUGAGACCUCCCACUCCUGGGGCCAGAAGGAGUUGCUGAGAAGGAGCUGUGGUUCUGACCUUCAGGGGAAUUCCCACGUCUGUAUGGUGGCUCGUGAAGAGCAUGGUUCCUUUUCUCAGCCCUCUUGAGGGGCGAGGAUGCUGAGGACUGAAGUCGGGCCUGCUCUCUGUCAUGUGAUGCUAUACUACAGCCAGGCUGGAAUUUGGUGUCUUAUUGCUACAAAGAAUCAGCUUUGUCAAUCCUAAGGUCACUGAGAGGCUGCCAGAGGGCCAUUUUCAUGACCAGAGGGAUCUGUUCAACACCCUGUGGGUCCCAGCACCUAUCUCAGGAAGCAGGGUGCAUCUGUCCACCACCAAGUCUCAGGGUGGCUGGGUGAGCGCUCAUCAGUCCCAGACAGCAGGUUGGCACAAAACGACACUGCCCACAAAACCACAGGAAGAAGAGAAACUCCGACUGUCUUUCAGCACACAGAAGACACUGUACUGGACCCGGACAUUAGGCAGACACCCACGCCUGACUUUCAGGAGAAAAGAGAACAUGACUAACGGAUAUUCUUAGUAGAUGGUUUAUUAGAAAAGAGAACAUCUUCCAGCAUGUGUCCUGGGGUGAUGGGUGUGGGAAGCACUCAGUCCAUAGUCCUGGUCCCUGGCUUCCCCAAGCCCAGCACCAUGAAUGUACAGUGGAAAGCAGAGGGUGCAGCGUCUCAGAAAGAUGCUUCCACUCACAAGGAUUGGAGCUCACAAGUGAGCUCCAUAACCUGCAAACCAGAGAAACCUGAGACACUGCCCCUUGGCCAUUUUAUCAACGGAGACUUUAUUGUGAUUAUCCCGGCAGGGGGCCGAGCUCUCCUCUCUGCAACAGGAAAUGCUCUUUAGUGAAAAUGCAGCAUUUCUCCAAGGGUAACAAAGCUGAACGCCUGCUUAGCUUAUGAACCCUCAGUUGGCCUAGGUGGUGCAAAGACCCUGCUGUUACUGCUUUGAUCAUCAGUACUGUGGACUGUACCAGGAGAUCCCUGGGAAUGUGCUCUGGGCGGAAGCAGCUUUUAUCUUUGGCCCUCACCCAUGCUUUAUAUGGUGAGGUUGGGAAAAUGGCACAAGGCUUCUCCUGAACCUCAAAUCAACACCCUUGCCCCAUUUAGAUCCUAUCUGGCUGUUUCUUGCUAAUAUUACUGCAUCACUGCACCAUCUUUCCUAUUUCAGCAAA